rnacentral:lncRNA from 1 species
UAACACUCAACACUAUCUCUCUCUCUCUCUCUCUCUAUUUGUCCUAUUUUAUCUCUUCAAAUCACACUAAACACUCUCGCUCGCUCUCUCUCUCUCUCUCUCUCUCUCAUUUUAUUUUUUCUCUCAAUUUCUCUUUUAAUGGGCGAUAGAAAUCUGAACACUUAAAACUAGAAAUUGUUUAAUCUUUUGUUAUUUUUUCCAAAAAUCAGUCUCUGGUUGUUUUCAGUAUGAUCAUUGUUAAGAAUACUAAUUUUUCGACUGAAACUUGGUUCGCAAUGAGCCUGGUCUGGUGGCAGAGGAUCAGAAUUACUGGGACUCUCUGGGCUUCUUUGAGGUUUAUUCGAGAAUGUAAUUAUGAUUAUUUUUUAAAAUAUAUUUAUUUUAAACCCAUGAGUUUUUUUCUUUGUUUUUUUGGCAAAUAAGCUUAAUGGGUCAAUUUAUUUAGGCCAAAUCUUUUAAUGUUCUUGAUAAACUUAUUAUCAAGCAAAAACAAUUUGCAUGGAAAUGAAAUACAAAGUUUUUAUGCAAAUGUCGAAAACACAUUUCAAAUUUGCAGAACACCUUUGGGACAGGGUACUCAUGGUUGGAGAAGUUGCUGGGAUACACUGAGGUUCGAGAAUAGUGGCGGCGUGUGGGCUCUACACGCUACCAGCUACUGCCAGCGCGUGGAUCCACGCAUCGCUGCCAGUGAAAAGGGAAAAUUGGUGGAUCUGAAACGGCUUUUCUUCCUCUUUCUUUUUAUGCUAUCGGUGAAUCUCACCGUCACCUGCAAAACCAAAUAAUCAACACAAGCAGUCAGUUUUAGUUUUUAUCUUUCUCUCUCUACUGCGUCUUCUCUCAUCUGGUUUAGCUAUUGUUCAUUGCUACCAUGGAAGGAGGAGAACCUGGUCGCUUGGAGUGGCGGUUAGGUUCGAAAUUCUCACUACUGCUAUGUGGCUGGAUCGAGGUUGUUUCUCUUGGUGGUUAGCGAAUGGAAGAGGAGACAACAGCGUGAGAGUUGGAGGACGAUGUGGGUCGGCCUGGUUCACGAUUAUGGGGACUGGUUUGGGUCAGCCUGUAUAUACUGUUUCCCUUGUGUCUUCCCCCUUUUCUUUUCUUUUUCUUUUUCUUUUUUUUAUCGAUCUCCCUCUCCCAUUUGGUAUCUCUGUUCAUUCCUUUUAUGAAUGGAAACAAUCACCAAUAUUUUAAUGAAAAUCAAAUCCUUGAAAAUUGACCUAUAAAUCUGAAUUUAAAAUCAGCUUAGGAGCUGGCCACCAAUCCCUCUUCACUUGAUCUGUGGAGUGAGAAUCAAAGUUUAAAGGCUGGAUCUUGAACAACAAUGGAAAGGCUGUAUUAUAGUCUAGAAAAGAUGCUAAUUGAAUUUGUGUGUUUGGCUCAGAAUCCGAAGUGGAUUCAAGGAAUUAAAUCAUGAUUCUUUGUGUCUUGAUUGUAGCAUACCUGCUAGAGAAUACAUUUCUUGCAUUAUGUUGUCAAGAGAAUCAAUCAAGGUAAUAAAUUAAGUUCAAAGAUAGCAUGACAGUCAUUCGUUUCUGUCUUACUCAGAAAUUUGCAAGAUUAAAGAACAAAAUAAUGCUGUUUAUUUGAAUCUUCAAAGUGUGUUCUUCCCCAAUUUAAACAACUCACAAAUCACAUUGUUUUAUUAAAAUAUAUUAAAAUAAUAUUUUUUUAUUUUUAAAAAAUUAUUUUUAUAUUAAUAUAUUAAAACAAUUUAAAAAUAUAUAAAAAAAUAAUUUUUCAUAAAAAUUUAAAAUUUUAAAAAAUACGGUGUCCAAAUAGACUCUUAAUGUUAAUGGUGC